ensembl:misc_RNA Metazoa_SRP Metazoan signal recognition particle RNA
GCAUGGGCCUGUAGUCCCAGCUACUCAGGAGGCCAAGGCAGGAGGGUCACUUGAGCUCAGGAGUUCUGGGCUGUAGUGAACCACACCGAUCAGGUGUCCACACUAAGUUCAGUAUCAAUAUGGUGACCUGGCAGUGUAGGGAGCCAGAAGGUUGUCUGAGGAGGGGUUAACUGGCCCACGUCAACAAAGAGUAGGUCAAAGCUCCCGUGCUGAUCAAUAGUGGAAUCAGGCCUGUGCAUAACCCCUGCGCCCCAGCCUGGGCAACAUGGCGAGACCCCGUUCUCU